rnacentral:rRNA from 1 species
GAUUUCUGACGGACCGGAGUGGCCCGUUCUCUUUCAGGGAAUGAGUGCCGCUUUGAGUUUGUCAUCCUUCUAGAAAGCUGCGUCUACCGUUUAUUCGGCCGGAUGUAUGCGAUCUAGAUCUAUUACUUUGAAAAAAUUAGAGUGUUUAAAGCAGGCUUAUGCUAUGAAUACAUUAGCAUGGAAUAAUAAUUUAGGACUUGGGUUCUAUUUUGUUGGUUUCUAGGACUGAAGUAAUGAUUGAUAGGGAUAGUUGGGGGUGCUAGUAUUCCGCGGCCAGAGGUGAAAUUCUUGGAUUUGUGGAAGACUAACUACUGCGAAAGCAUU